CUUGAAUGAGAAUUUUAGCAGAGUUUUGAGAUAGAGAUUAGAGCUUAGAGAAUAACGUAUCUGGGGUCCCCUUUUUAUAGGCGGAGGGCGUAACAGAUUGAUGGCGACAUUUGUAACCACCUGGUAGUGGGCCGUUCAGGAUCAUAAGGAGUUUGUUGCGGAGAGUAGUGGCGUCAGGGGCUGCUUAGGGCCACAUGGAGCUUGUCGCGGGGAGUGGAGUGGUGUCUGUUGUCAUGACUUGCCAG
rnacentral:lncRNA from 1 species